UACGUAGGGUGCGAGCGUUAAUCGGAAUUACUGGGCGUAAAGCGUGCGCAGGCGGCGCGUUAAGACAGGUGUGAAAGCCCCGAGCUUAACUUGGGAAUUGCGCUGGUGACUGGCGUGCUGGAGUGUGGCAGAGGGAGGUGGAAUUCCACGUGUAGCAGUGAAAUGCGUAGAGAUGUGGAGGAACACCGAUGGCGAAGGCAGCCCCCUGGGCCAGCACUGACGCUGAGGCACGAAAGCGUGGGGAGCAAACAGG
rnacentral:rRNA from 1 species